UACGUAGGGGCAAGCGUUGUCCGGAUUCAUUGGGCGUAAAGAGCGUGUAGGCGGCCAGGUAGGUCGGUUGUGAAAACUGGAGGCUCAACCUUCAGAGGUCGACCGAAACCAUCUGGCUAGAGUCCGGGAGAGGAGAGUGGAAUUCCUGGUGUAGCGGUGAAAUGCGCAGAUAUCAGGAAGAACACCCGUGGCGAAAGCGGCUCUCUGGAACGGUACUGACGCUGAGACGCGAAAGCGUGGGGAGCAAACAGG
rnacentral:rRNA from 1 species